GACGUAGGAGGCGAGCGUUGUCCGGAUUCAUUGGGCGUAAAGAGCACGCAGGCGGUUUGGCAAGUCGGACGUGAAAAUCCGGGGCUCAACCCCGGACCUGCAUCCGAAACUGCCCGACUAGAGGUAGGUAGGGGAGAUCGGAAUUCCUGGUGUAGCGGUGAAAUGCGCAGAUAUCAGGAGGAACACCGGUGGCGAAGGCGGUUCUCUGGGAAUGACCUGACGCUGAGGAGCGAAAGUGUGGGGAGCGAACAGG
rnacentral:rRNA from 1 species